rnacentral:tmRNA from 1 species
GGGGGCGACAUGGUUUCGACGCGGGUAUCAAAACUUGCGGUGCAUGCCGAGAGGGUAGUGACUCUCGUAAAACAAUCGCUGUAACUUUAUAUAGUUGCCAACGACGAAAACUACGCACUAGCGGCCUAAAAAACCCGCUUACGUCCAUGAUUCGUUUCCUGCUAGGAGAAAUGGACGGCAAAGCAGCAGGAUCGCGUGGAUGUCUCGCCCGGGGCUGAACCGUUAAAACCAAUCGGGAUCGCUGAAGGUACCCUGACCGUCGGGUCGCCGGAAGCUAAAUUAAUAGACGGAAUCUAAGCAUGUAGAGCCAAUAGUGGCGAACCAGCGGACGCGGGUUCAACUCCC